UACGUAGGUGGCAAGCGUUGUCCGGAAUUAUUGGGCGUAAAGCGCGCGCAGGCGGUCCUUUAAGUCUGAUGUGAAAGCCCUGGGCUCAACCUGGGAAUUGCAUUGGAUACUGGCAGGCUAGAGUGCGGUAGAGGAUGGCGGAAUUCCCGGUGUAGCAGUGAAAUGCGUAGAGAUCGGGAGGAACAUCUGUGGCGAAGGCGGCCAUCUGGACCAGCAC
rnacentral:rRNA from 1 species